AUUGAACGCUGGCGGCAGGCUUAACACAUGCAAGUCGAGCGGGGGAAGGUAGCUUGCUACCGGACCUAGCGGCGGACGGGUGAGUAAUGCUUAGGAAUCUGCCUAUUAGUGGGGGACAACAUCUCGAAAGGGAUGCUAAUACCGCAUACGUCCUACGGGAGAAAGCAGGGGAUCUUCGGACCUUGCGCUAAUAGAUGAGCCUAAGUCGGAUUAGCUAGUUGGUGGGGUAAAGGCCUACCAAGGCGACGAUCUGUAGCGGGUCUGAGAGGAUGAUCCGCCACACUGGGACUGAGACACGGCCCAGACUCCUACGGGAGGCAGUAGUGGUGAAUAUUGGACAAUGGUGGGAACCCUGAUCCAGCCAUGCCGCGUGUGUGAAGAAGGCCUUAUGGUUGUAAAGCACUUUAAGCGAGGAGGAGGCUACUCUAGUUAAUACCUAGGGAUAGUGGACGUUACUCGCAGAAUAAGCACCGGCUAACUCUGUGCCAGCCGCCGCCGUAA
rnacentral:rRNA from 1 species